rnacentral:Y_RNA from 1 species
GGCUGGUCCGAUGGUAGUGGGUUAUCCGAAUUUAUUAACAUUAGUGUCAGUAAAGUUGGUAUACAACCUCCACUGCUAAAUUUGACUGGCUUUAA